rnacentral:lncRNA from 1 species
GGGCGCGGUAUGGCGCCGUCAUUAAUGGCGCAGACAAUUGAGGAAUUGUCAACUCACUGUAGUCUGUCAGAGUCGCCGUGAAAGCGUCAUAUCGCCGCGGGGCUGUCAAAUCACUAGGGUUGACAAUGCCCUAGGCGGGAUAAUGCCCUUAGGUGGCAGUGCCGCAUAUUACUGUCAGGACUGACAGGCUCCGGCGGCUGUACGACGAUCGGAGGAGUCGACCGACCCUAGGUCGGUGGCCGUCUGUGUGGCGUCGGGUGGAGAUUCGGGCCCCUUUGACGGUCAGCCGGGCAUGUUGCGAGAGUCGGCCAUCAGACUCCCUGGUUCAGUCGGCCCGGAGAGUGGAAACCCGACCGACAUAUCCACGGACGGAAGAGGGCCGUUAAUCGAUCGGUCGGUCG